GGAGGAGUGCAUUUGUUCGCCACAAAACCAAGCGGCUUCGGCCGUCCAGUGUUGACUCAGAACAACUAAGCUGAUCGCACGGUCUUGCACCGGCGAUUUGUCUCUCGAGCUUCUGCCUUAUCAACUUUCGAUGGUAGUGUAUCUGACUACCAUGGUGGUGACGGGUAACGGAGGAUAAGGGUUCGACUCCGGAGAAGGGGCCUGAGAAAUGGCCACUACGUCUAAGGAUGGCAGCAGGCGCGCAAAUUACCCACUCUCAGAACGAGGAGGUAGUACGAGAAAUACACAAGGCUGAUCUCUUUCGAGGCCAGUCAUUGGAAUGGGUUAGACCCACAACAACAAGCGAGUAUCUAUGAGAGGGCAAGUCUGGUGCCAGCAGCCGCGGUAAUUCCAGCUCUCAAAAUGCAUAGAAUUAUUGCUGCGGUUAAAAAGCUCGUAGUUGGAUCUGUGCAGGCCUCCCGGUCCAUCUUCGGAUGCGCACUGGCGGGGUCGGCUUUCCUGCCGGUUUUCCUGGUGUCGGCUUCACCGCCGGUCGCCAAUGGGGGCUGGCAAGUUUACUUUGAACAAAUCAGAAUGGUUAAAACAGGGGUUUCGCUUGAAUGGUCUUGGAUGGAAUAAUAGAAGAAGAUUUCGGUUCUAUUUUAUUGGUUUUAUAGACUGAGAUAAUGGUUAACAGAGACCAACGGGGGCAUUCCUAUGGCUGCGUGAGAAGUGAAAUUCUUGGACCGUAGCCAGACGAACGACAGCGAAAGCAUCUGCCAAGAAUGUCUUCAUUAAUCAAGAACGAAAGUCAGAAGUUCCAAAGCGAUCAGAUACCGCCCUAGUUCUGACCGUAAACGAUGCCAACUAGCCGUCCGGCGGCGGAAUUUUUGGCCUGGUGGGGAGCUUCCCGGAAACGAAAGUCUUCCGGUUCCGGGGGAAGUAUUGUUGCCAAGCUGAAACUUAAAGGAAUUGACGGAAGGGCACCACCAGGAGUGGAGCCUGCGGCUUAAUUUGGAUCAACACCGGGAAACUCACCCGGUCCGGACACCGUAAGAAUUGACGGAUUGAUAAGCUUCUCAUGAUCCGGUGGAUGGUGGUGCAUGGCGUUCUUAGUUCGUGGAACGGAUUGUCCUGGUUUAUUCGAUAACGAGCCAGACUCAGCUUACUAAAUAGUCACACGUGGUCACUGUGUGCCGACUUCUUAGAGAGAUUUUCGGUGUUCAGCCGCACGAAAUUGAGCAAUAACAGGUCUGUGAUGCCCUUAGAUGUCCGGGGCUGCACGCGCGCUACACUGGCAAAAUCAGCGUGCUUGUCCUUCCCCGAAAGGGGUUGGUAAACCCUUGAAAAUUUGCCGUGAUUGGGAUCGGAAAUUGCAAUUAUUUUCCGUGAACGAGGAAUUCCAAGUAAGUGCGAGUCAUCAACUCGCGUUGAUUACGUCCCUGCCCUUUGUACACACCGCCCGUCGCUGCCCGGGACUGAGCCAUUUCGAGAAACUUGGGGAUCGCUGAUCCGGCUGCUUUCGGGCCGCCGCCUCGGUGAAAACCAAUUUAAUCGCAGUGGCUUGAACCGGGC
rnacentral:rRNA from 1 species